rnacentral:rRNA from 1 species
UGGGGAAUAUUGCACAAUGGGCGCAAGCCUGAUGCAGCCAUGCCGCGUGUGUGAAGAAGGCCUCGGGUUGUAAAGCACUUUCAGCGAGAGGAAGGUGGUGAACUUAAUACGUUCAUCAAUUGACGUUACUCGCAGAAGAAGCACCGGCUAACUCCGUGCCAGCAGCCGCGGUAAUACGGAGGGUGCAAGCGUUAAUCGGAAUUACUGGGCGUAAAGCGCACGCAGGCGGUUUGUUAAGUCAGAUGUGAAAUCCCCGGGCUCAACCUGGGAACUGCAUUUGAAACUGGCAAGCUAGAGUCUCGUAGAGGGGGUAGAAUUCCAGGUGUAGCGGUGAAAUGCGUAGAGAUCUGGAGGAAUACCGGUGGCGAAGGCGGCCCCCUGGACGAAGACUGACGCUCAGGUGCGAAAAGGCGUGGGGAGCAAAACAGGUUAGAUACCCUGGUAGUCACG